UACGAAGGGGGCUAGCGUUGCUCGGAAUCACUGGGCGUAAAGCGCACGUAGGCGGAUUGUUAAGUCAGGGGUGAAAUCCUGGAGCUCAACUCCAGAACUGCCUUUGAUACUGGCGAUCUUGAGUCCGGGAGAGGUGAGUGGAACUGCGAGUGUAGAGGUGAAAUUCGUAGAUAUUCGCAAGAACACCAGUGGCGAAGGCGGCUCACUGGCCCGGAACGUGACGCUGAGACGCGAAAGCGUGGGGAGCAAACA
rnacentral:rRNA from 1 species